AUACGGAGGGGGCUAGCGUUGUUCGGAAUUACUGGGCGUAAAGCGCACGUAGGCGGCGCACGCAGUCAGAGGUGAGAGGCCUGGGCUCAACCCAGGAACUGCCUUUGAUACUGGUGUGCUAGAGUCCGGGAGAGGGUGGCGGAAUUCCCAGUGUAGAGGUGAAAUUCGUAGAUAUUGGGAAGAACACCAGUUGCGAAGGCGGCCACCUGGACCGGUACUGACGCUGAGGUGCGAAAGCGUGGGGAGCAAACAGGAUUAGAUACCCCGGUAGUCC
rnacentral:rRNA from 1 species